AUGAUUCUUUUCAAGAAAUAAGGAUCUUCGCUUCCGCUCGUUUGACGGUAGAAGACAAAAUAAAAAUGUUGGAUUUCAUGAAAAAAUUUCGAGAAAACGAACUGGGAUUUAGUUGCGGUGGUUUUUUCGUUGUGUCGAAAGGAUGUCCGGUAAAGGUAUACAGUUCGCUCUAUUCUGCCUUCAACGUUCUGAUGCAAAUUCGGGACAUUUUGAAAGGUGGAGAUGACAAGUGCAUUUCUUUCGUUGCGCACAUUUUAAAUUUAUCUAAAAAUUCCACUUUGUUGCAAAAAUAAUCGCUAAUAAUUACCAUUUACGGAAUAUUGUAAACAUUUUACUUGAUUUCAACACUAAUUAUUGUAGAAAAUUAAAUCGGUUUGAACGUUUCAUUUUUCAAGCCUUAGAAAAUAAAAUUAAACAUUAUAUUAUAUAUAACUAACAGUAUUUAUUCUGUAU
rnacentral:lncRNA from 1 species